AGUGAACGCUGGCGGCAGGCCUAAUACAUGCAAGUCGAACGGCAGCACGGCAGAGCUUGCUCUGUGGGUGGCGAGUGGCGGACGGGUGAGGAAUACAUGGGAAUCUGCCCAGUCGUGGGGGAUAACGUAGGGAAACUUACGCUAAUACCGCAUGCGCCCUUCGGGGGAAAGCCGGGGACCUUCGGGCCUGGCGCGAUUGGAUGAGCCCAUGUCGGAUUAGCUAGUUGGCGGGGUAAUGGCCCACCAAGGCGACGAUCCGUAGCUGGUCUGAGAGGAUGAUCAGCCACACUGGAACUGAGACACGGUCCAGACUCCUACGGGAGGCAGCAGUAGGGAAUAUUGGACAAUGGGCGCAAGCCUGAUCCAGCCAUGCCGCGUGAGUGAAGAAGGCCCUCGGGUUGUAAAGCUCUUUUGUCCGGAAAGAAAAGCGCCGGGUUAAUACCCUGGUGUCCUGACGGUACCGGAAGAAUAAGCACCGGCUAACUUCGUGCCAGCAGCCCGG
rnacentral:rRNA from 1 species